rnacentral:rRNA from 1 species
AGGACGAACGCUGGCGGCGUGCUUAACACAUGCAAGUCGAGCGGAAAGGCCCUUCGGGGUACUCGAGCGGCGAACGGGUGAGUAACACGUGAGCAACCUGCCCUUAGCUCUGGGAUAGCUCCGGGAAACCGGAAUUAAUACCGGAUAUGACCUAGGCCGACAUCGGCCGUGGUGGAAAAUUUUUCGGCUAGGGAUGGACUCGCGGCCUAUCAGCUAGUUGGUGGGGUAAUGGCCUACCAAGGCGACGACGGGUAGCCGGCCUGAGAGGGCGACCGGCCACACUGGGACUGAGACACGGCCCAGACUCCUACGGGAGGCAGCAGUGGGGAAUCUUGCGCAAUGGGCGAAAGCCUGACGCAGCGACGCCGCGUGGGGGAUGAAGGCCUUCGGGUUGUAAACCCCUUUCAGCAGGGACGAAGCGAAAGUGACGGUACCUGCAGAAGAAGCGCCGGCUAACUACGCGCCAGCAGCCGC